AACGAACGCUGGCGGCGUGCCUAACACAUGCAAGUCGAGCGGGAAAGUUCCCUUCGGGAGCGAGUACAGCGCGAACGGGUGAGUAACACGUAGGUAACCUACCCUGGGGUCCGGGAUAACCUGUCGAAAGACGGGCUAAUACCGGAUAAGACCACGAGAGCCUCGGCUUUUGAGGUAAAAGAUGGCCUCUGCUUGCAUGCUAUCACCCCGAGAUGGGCCUGCGCGCCAUUAGCUAGUUGGNGAGGUAAUGGCUCACCAAGGCGAAGAUGGCUAGCUGGUCUGAGAGGAUGAUCAGCCACACUGGGACUGAGACACGGCCCAGACUCCGUACGGGAGCAGCAGUGGGGAAUAUUGCGCAAGUGGG
rnacentral:rRNA from 1 species